AUUGAACGCUGGCGGCAUGCCUUACACAUGCAAGUCGAACGGCAGCACGGGAGCAAUCCUGGUGGCGAGUGGCGAACGGGUGAGUAAAGUAUCGGAACGUGCCCAGUCGUGGGGGAUAACGUAGCGAAAGUUACGCUAAUACCGCAUACGAUCUAUGGAUGAAAGCGGGGGAUCGCAAGACCUCGCGCGAUUGGAGCGGCCGAUAGCAGAUUAGGUAGAUGGUGGGGUAAAGGCUCACCAAGCCGACGAUCUGUAGCUGGUCUGAGAGGACGACCAGCCACACUGGGACUGAGACACGGCCCAGACUCCUACGGGAGGCAGCAGUGGGGAAUUUUGGACAAUGGGCGAAAGCCUGAUCCAGCCAUGCCGCGUGCAGGAUGAAGGCCUUCGGGUUGUAAACUGCUUUUGUACGGAACGAAAAGGUUUGGCCUAAUAAGCUGAGCUCAUGACGGUACUGUAAGAAUAAGCACCGGCUAACUACGUGCCAGCAGCCGCCGUAA
rnacentral:rRNA from 1 species